rnacentral:lncRNA from 1 species
CCAAAGGCAAUCAAAAUCCGAAACCCUCCGGAAGCCACGCAAACCCGUUCCCGUCUCAAGGCAGUCCUCUUCUGAGGAACGUUCAAUCUUUCCAUACCCACGUGAAUCCGAAGAAGUGUUAUCUCUGUUCCAAGUAGAAUCACCCGGUCCGACUCUGUCCGCAUUUCCUCCAAAUGGAAGUUGAAGCACGUUUAAGCUGCAUCAAGACGAAGCAGUUGUGCUUAAACUGUUUUGCCCGAAGUCACCAGCUACGAGAGUGCACCAGCCCACAUAAUUGUUUCACGUAUGGAGCCCGUCACCAUACGCUGCUGCAUCGCGGUACUCCUGCAUCCAGUGAGUCGUCCACAUCCGCGCAAAGUCCCAAUUCGUCCGACGUUCAGCCCACCGUGCAAAAUUACUUCACCUCGGGCACCAGGCCUGUUCUUCUAGGCACGGCAAUAAUUAACAUUUGCCACCUGCGGACUAAUUUCCGCGCACGCGCUCUAAUCGACUCGGGCUCCGAGGCUAAGUUCAUUACGGAACGCCUUUUUAACAUCAUCAAACCACCAUUCCGCCUUAUUCAGGCACAAGUCUCAGGCCUGAGUCAGUCGGUAGCAGCUCAGUCCAAGAAGCUCUGCCACUUUUCCAUUCGCUCCCCGACUAUGCUAUGCAGUUAAAGGCUUACGUACUGCCGGAACUGGCGGGCAAUCUCCCUUCAUAUCCAAUUCCGCUAAGUGCAUUACGAGAUUUGCCGAACUUACCAUUAGCUGAUCCCACCUUCUAUGAGAGCUCGCAGAUAGAUGUCCUGAUCGGAGCCGAUAUCCUUCCCUCCAGGAAACGAUUUUCGGGUGGUUGCUUACUGGUCCGGUGAGCAGUACCUCCCCAAACCAAAUCGCAUCUUUCUCCACACAAGUGUCCAACGUCCUCGAUGCUACAUUAGACAAGCUUCUCACAAAGUUUUGGGAGGUGGAGGAUCUACCAACCAAUGUAGUAGAAGAGUCCGAUUCCUAUUGCGAAAGCAACUUCCUACAAACGACUCCACGACUCCACCAACUACUAUCUCCCUCACCACGCAGUGAUCAAACCCGAUAGCACUACAGCGAAGCUUCGUGUGGUGUUUAACGCAUCCAGCCCAUCCGCGAACGGAACGAGCUUGAGUGACCUCCUUCACGCGGGCUACAAUCCGAUUUGACCCUUCAGAUUCGGAAAUGGCGCUACUUUCGAUAUGCCGACAUAUCGGCGACCAUUCCUAGGCGACCCUUUCGCCGACAUCACCAAAAUGUACCAUCAGAUUUGGGUGGAUCCAGAACAACCUUGUUUCGAAACGCAGAGGGGGAAAUUCGUGAUUACGAUUUGAAACCCGUCACUGCGCCCUCUUUCUCGCCAUUCGAGUUCUUCAACAGCUUUCCAACGACGUUUAAUCGCAAUUCCCUAGGGCUAGUCAUAUCAUUCGGCACUUUAUGUACGUCGACGAUGUCCUAGCCGGCGCUGACUCCACCCAGGAGGCUAAGCUAGCGCUGUAGGAAACGCAGGACGUACGCGCGGACGUACGCGCGACCGCAAAUUACAAGCCGCCCUCAGUUCGGCAUGUUUUCCGCUACGAAAGUGAACAGCCAACCACAAGGACGUAUUGGCCGAGAUUCCGAGUGGCCACCUCCUCCAUAAUGAUUUCCUGGAGAUUGACGCACAGAGCACGGCAAAGACUCUCGGAAUUCGUUGGAAGGCCACCUCCGACGAGUUCUUCUUUGUUCCUCCCGUGCUCUCGCUUACGCCAUCCUACACCAAGCGAGAAGUCCUAUCGCAGAUAGCAGGGUGGCUGGCACCGUUCAUAGUCCGCUCCAAGAUCUUCAUGCAGGAAAUUUGGUUGCAGGAACUGGAGUGGGACGAGAACCUUCCGAACGAACUGUGUCAAUACUGGCAAGCCUUCCUGCUUAGCUACUCCUGUCUCACCACGAUCCGUAUCCCAAGAUGGAUUGGUUCCCGACCAUCCGUUAAGGUGGAGCACCAUGGGUUCUGUGAUGCCUCGGAAAUGACUUACGGCGCCGCGAUUUAUGUACGCGUUGAGAUGGACCAGCGUACCGACGUGCAUCUAUUGACAGCUAAGACACGAGUUGCGCCCGUAAAAACCGUAUCGCUUCCCCGGUUAGAGCUGUGCGGUGGCGUGCUUCUAGCCGAAAUGGCGACGGCUAUCCUGCCAAGUAUGCCGACGACAGGGUCUACCGUUUACUACUGGACAGAUACCACAAUCGUCGUCGUCUGGUUGAACAAGCCUGCAUGCCUCAUGUUCGCUCCGAGCACAAUCCGGCGGCCUUAGCCAGUCGGGGGGUUUCUCUACAGGAUCUGGUUGACAACCGUCUCUGGUGGUAUGGGCCCGCUUGGUUACAGCAACCACGUUCUCAAUGGCCGCUCCAAGAUCAGGAAACCCCCGUCAUAAACCUAGAGCAGCUGGCUGUGAAAGUCCAUUUCACAACCAGCCCAUCCGAAGAUAUCCUCGAGCGAUUCUCCACGCUUGAAAAAAGUCUGCGAGUCCGCGCGUACGUCCUGCGUUUCCUACAGCGCUGCCGAAAACUACCGUACGCACAGGAUACCCAUCCUACAAGCGGAGAAGUUAACGAGGCUGAACGAACUCUUGACCUAGAAACUCAGCUGAACACUCAACACUGAAUUUGAAUCCGUUCAUGGAUCAAUAUGGGGUCAUACGCUUCUGCGACCGUGUAUCAACGGCGCAAGCACUGAAGGAUGACGAGCGAAAUUCUUCCGUAUAGUUGUCGUUUGUCGCGACUCCUCACGCAGUUCACACACCGGAUCACUCUUCACAGAGGCAGCCAAUUGAUGGUGCCAUUUAUCCGAUCCAAGUAUUGGAUUCCACGGAUUCCGAAGCUGAUGAAGGGUGUCGUGAACUCUUGCAAAGUGUGCAUUAUCCACAAAAAAAAGUUGCAAACUGAUGAGGGAUCUCCGCAGGGAGCGAACUUCAUUCUCCCGACCUUUCACGCACACCGGAAUUGACUACGCCGGUCCUUUUGAAAUCCGAAACUACUACCCCGAAGGGGGGGGGGGGGGGGGGGGGGGGGGGGGGGGGGGGGGGGGGGGGGGGGGGGGGAGUUAAUGGCGACUGUGGAGCCAGAAGUUAACGGGUGACCUCACAUCGAUCAUAAAUCGAUAGCAACAUCUAAAGGCACUCAACCAACAGUUCUGUCAUAGAUGGCACAAGCGGAACAAAUGGCAAACGCAAACGCCAGAUUGGUGAUAUGGUCGUCGUCAAGGAGGACAACCUUCCGUCUAAAUAAUGGCGUCUCUGACGAAUCCAGUCCGUGUACCCCGGCGCCGACGAUCGGGUCCGUGUAGUCGACAUCCUCAGUGCACGGGGGUCCUUAAAAUGCCGGUCGCAAAGGUCGCUCUUCUGUCCAUAGAACUUCCUCGCUCCAUCCAAAAUUAACGAAGAGCGUGCGUGUCCCCCGCUUCCUAUCUCGCUACUAACCCUUCUCCGAUUCUUUUUUUUUCUUUUCUUUGGCCAUAGUUUUCCGUACUCAGAGAUGGCUCCACGGUCUCGUGACACCCGCACUUCGGAGAGUAGACGUUCUCGAGGUAUUAACUCCUACCGUUGCAGAGUCUGCUCCGGAAUCCAUCCGCUACGUGCCUGCCGAAGCUUUCUUCCCCUAAACGCCGAGAAGAGACUCCGAGCCGUCUUGAUUACCAAGUACAAGUAACAAGAUGUUGAGAGUAGCAGCAGCGAGUUAGCAGCAGGCUGCUACACUCCCUACACUCUCCUUCUUGCCUGGCGCUCGCGAGCUGGCUUGCAGCCAUUCGCUAAGCUGUCUUCAGUAUUCUACCCACCCCCGUACAUUCCGGUACACGCGAGUCGAUACAAAAGGAAUUCUACAUCCACACAUACAUCCAUACAUACACAAACACAUACCUUUCUACACCCGCGCCGUUUCGAGUGGAUAAUAAACCACCAUAAUAUCGAAUAUACUGUGCCUCUUCAUUUCUGGACGCUCGGGUUUCCCGAGGACUUAUCUGCAGCGACAGGAGCCGCCCUCCUACAAUCAGACCGAGAUACUCUAGAUAUAACAAAAAAACAACAGCACCAAGAAAUAUCAAACACUGAAAAUUUUAAAUUAAUAC